rnacentral:rRNA from 1 species
UACGUAGGGGGCAAGCGUUGUCCGGAUUUAUUGGGCGUAAAGAGCUCGUAGGCGGCUCGUUGCGUCGGCUGUGAAAACCCGCAGCUCAACUGUGGGCUUGCAGCUGAUACGGGCGGGCUGGAGUUCGGUAGGGGAGACUGGAAUUCCUGGUGUAGCGGUGAAAUGCGCAGAUAUCAGGAGGAACACCGGUGGCGAAGGCGGGUCUCUGGGCCGAUACUGACGCUGAGGAGCGAAAGCGUGGGGAGCGAACAGG